rnacentral:sRNA from 1 species
GCUGGGCACAGUGGCAAAUGCCUGUAAUCCCAGCAAUUCAGGAGGCUGAGGCAGGAGGAUUGCAAGUUCAAAGCCAGCCUCAGCAAAAGUGAGGUGCUAAGCAACUCAGUGAGACCCUGCCUCUA